rnacentral:rRNA from 1 species
UACAGAGGGUGCAAGCGUUAAUCGGAAUGACUGGGCGUAAAGGGCAUGUAGGCGGCACGAUGUGUCAUAGGUGAAAUCCCCGGGCUUAACCUGGGAACUGCCUGUGAGACUAUUGAGCUAGAAUAUAGGAGAGGGAAGUGGAAUUUCCGGUGUAGCGGUGAAAUGCGUAGAUAUCGGAAAGAACACCAGUGGCGAAGGCGACUUCCUGGCCUAAUAUUGACGCUGAGAUGCGAAAGCGUGGGGAGCAAACAGG